AGCUCUGGGGUGUAUACACACAUAAGAUUGCAAAUCUUAAGUAGCCGGAUAUUCCCCGGCCGGAUCUU
rnacentral:tRNA from 1 species